AAUAGCAUGAAGAAAUCAACACUUAGUGUUCCCCAGUGAAAGCAGCGAGUUUUCACGGUGACUGUGGUGAUUCUGAAUCACCCGAAGAAAAAUAAAAACGCUAAAUUCACCCGUCGAGACUGGCUGGUUAAUUCAACUGCUGGGGAGCUGCUACAGUGUAAACUCGAGGCUUCCGUGUGUCGCCUUCCAUUUGACGGUGAGACGUUUGGAUCUGACAUCGGCCGAGGUUUGGCGCUGCGUCGGAGUCAACGCCACCAUGAGGAGCUGUCUUCGUGGUGGAUCCAAGUUAGCAACAGAAACUGAAUGUAACAGAUGACCACUGGCGCGGUGAGAAAUUGACUGAUCAAACAACGCGGAAAUAACUUGGAAACGACGUCACCUGAAUAUGUAUGAAAUUAAAUGAGUUCAAGGACUAUGUUUGGUCAAAUUAUAUGCCAAAUUACUUAUAAGGUAUGU